GUCUAACCCCAUGACUGAAAAGCGUCCAUGUUUUUUGCCAUUUUGUAUGUAUAGAACACGAAAUCUAAAGGCUAAGGACCAGGAGAACAUAAACAAAGAAGGAUAAUUGUAAUUGUUACCAGUUUCUAUGAAAAUGCCGAUAAUGUCGUUUCCUGACUGAGUAGUAAACCUCAAAGGUUGAAACUGUUGUUUACUUGUCCAUCAUUAAAGUCUUAGAUCAUAUUAAAGUGAACGUUUUUUUUGGUCACAUUUCGUAUUGCAAUUGAAGAUAAAGUCAUUCCAAGACGAGAAGUUGUACAAGAAACUUGAGACAAAUACUAACAGAAGAUUCUUUCGGACUGUUUUUGAAAAGCAGACCCAUUCUGCCACAAGAGACAAGGGUUUUAAACUUCUUUACAAAUCCGUGGCGGAUAUUCAGUAAUUAGAAGGACAUCCUAUUUAUCACAAGAAGCAAAUGUACAUUAGUAGAUUUUGUAGUAUCAAUUUGUUAAACGAUUUGUGUUUGUUUAUCCGCAGUAUAAGUUAUGCAUGCUUUUUGGAGAUGUAUUUAUGUCCUUAGAUAUAAAUUUCAUGUUUCCAAGAGGUUCGAAUUUGGCAAAUAAACAGAUAAUUAAGUCUUCAA